rnacentral:rRNA from 1 species
GGGCCCGCACAAGCGGUGGAGCAUGUGGUUUAAUUCGAUGAUACGCGAGGAACCUUACCAGGGCUUAAAUGUAAGUUGCAUAAGCUAGAGAUAGCUUUUUCUUCGGACUACUUACAAGGUGCUGCAUGGUUGUCGUCAGCUCGUGCCGUGAGGUGUCAGGUUAAGUCCUAUAACGAGCGCAACCCCUGUUGUUAGUUGCCAUCGAGUAAUGUCGGGAACUCUAACAAGACUGCCGGUGCAAACCGUGAGGAAGGUGGGGAUGACGUCAAGUCCUCAUGGCCCUUACGGGUUGGGCUACACACGUGCUACAAUGGUAGUGACAAUGGGUUAAUCCCAAAAAGCUAUCUC